GACGAACCUUGCUAACGUUAUUCGGAAUUACUGGGCGUAAAGCGCACGUAGGCGGACUGAUCAGUCAGGGGUGAAAUCCCGGGGCUCAACCCCGGAACUGCCUUUGAUACUGUCAGUCUGGAGGUCGAGAGAGGUGAGUGGAAUUCCGAGUGUAGAGGUGAAAUUCGUAGAUAUUCGGAGGAACACCAGUGGCGAAGGCGGCUCACUGGCUCGAUACUGACGCUGAGGUGCGAAAGCGUGGGGAGCAAACAGG
rnacentral:rRNA from 1 species